AUGUGUAUGAUCAUAUUUGGCAAGUUUGUUUAUGUGUAUGAUCAAAUUUGGCAAUUUUGUUUAUGUGUAUGAUCAUAUUUGGCAAGUUUGUUUAUGUGUAUGAUCAAAUUUGGCAAGUUUGUUUAUGUCAUAUUUGGCAAGUUUGUUUAUGUGUAUGAUCAAAUUUGGCAAGUUUGUUUAUGUGUAUGAUCAAAUUUGGCAAAGGGGGAUGAGGAUGUUGAGAACACAAGGAUCCAGUGAUCAAAGCUUAUAAUGUUAGCACUGCACUAGACCUGUGUUCCAAUUUGCAUACUUCUGUACUUACAAUAUCUAAUAUUAAAAUUGUGAAUGCACUUGUGCACUCAUAUGAGGUGUUGUAAGCACAGAGUUAUGCAAACUGGAACACAGCCUAGGACAGGUCAGUGCUAGCUAUAAAUAGGUACCAGCGCUAGCUCACUGUGUGUUAGCAGGAGCUAGGACAAGUCAGUGCUAGCUAUGAAUAGGUACCAGCGCUAGCUCACUGUGUGUUAGCAGGAGCUAGCUCACAUGAGGAAGUACAGUUUUCUGCUAAAAGACAGGCUACAGGAAUGAGAUUCAGACAGCAUGGGAGGCUUACAACAAAUAAAUGCAGCCCCCCCCCCCCCCUUCUCAUUUUUUAGUAAUUCCUUUCUGUUCAUAUGCAGGAAUGCAGUAUUUUGGAUAGGAAAAUAAUUGCAUUGCAACUACAUUGUACUGCAUUUAACUGCAGAUGGGCAGGAUUUUGGACAUGAAACGGCGUUAUACUUCAGAAAAAUGGCAGUACAACAGUUUUUUUGUCAGAAACUGCAGGGUUUUUUGUAAGGGGAGCAGACAGGGCUUACAGGUUCUAGUGUCGGAGCCUGAGAUAAUCCUUACAGUAGCCAAGACCCACCCAGAGGCCCUUUGCAUGUUUCAGUAGGAUGGGUGGGUUCCCAACAGCAGUUAGCCGCUUGCAGUGCUUAUUGGCUCUUCAUCCUGCUCUCCUUAUGUCUGAACUGGGGUGCAGUGAGCUCAGCGAGUUUCCUAUGAUGUCUCAUAGAGUUGGUAACAGUAUUUGCACUUGAAAAUUGUUAUUGCUCAUGUAUAAUGUCUGGAUUUUGUAUUGUCUUUUAAAAAUGAAUGGAAUUGGUGUUCUUAAA